rnacentral:lncRNA from 1 species
GUUGAUUAAGAUUAUAUUGUUAUAUGUUGCAUUUUAUUUAAGGUGUGUUGUUGUUGUUGAUAAAAAAUGUAUGUUGUUAAUAAUUUAGUUUUUGUUGAUAUAUAUUGUAUGUUAUUUAAGGUAUGCUGUUGUGGAUAAAAGUUGUAUGUUGUUGUUGAUAAAAGUUGUAUGUUGUUGUUGAUUUAAUUUUUAUAGUUAUAUGUUGUAUUUUGUUUAAGGUGUGUUGUUGAUAAAAGUUGGAUAUUGUUGAUGAUUUAGUUUUUGUUGAUAUAUGUUGUUGUUGAUGAUGAUAUAUAUGUUGUUGUUGAU